AACUUUCAACAAUGGAUCUCUUGGUUCUGGCAUCGAUGAAGAACGCAGCGAAAUGCGAUAAGUAGUGUGAAUUGCAGAAUUUAGUGAAUCAUCGAAUUUUUGAACGCAUAUUGCGCCCUUUGGUAUUCCAUUGGGCAUGCCUGUUCGAGCGUCAUAUGUAAAU
rnacentral:rRNA from 1 species